CAUCACAAAGACUACAGCAUGUAUCACCCGAUCCAGAUGUCUGCUCUCCAAAUAUCUCAGUGUUACCACUUCAAAACAGGUAGCACACAGUAAGUGUGUUACACAGGAAGCACACAGCCACUCAGAGCAGAGCCACGUGCAUGGAAGCGGAUGCCACGGCUCACCCUGGGAUGAUGCAUGAGCACAGGAGGGGAGCUUUCCCCUCUAGAACAAGGACGGGGGAGAAAUGAUGGCAGCUGUCUCAGACAUUUUGGUGCUCUUUCCCAUCAUCAGCCAGGUGAACCUAGCACAUAAAAUCUGCUCAGGAUUUGGUCAUCAGCUGAAGAACAGUCAGGUAAAAGAGAAAAUCCAUAAAGGCAGAAGAAAUCUCAUUUCCCCAGUCCUCGUAAGCAUCUGCUCAUGGUAAGAGAUCUUCUG